CGGAGCGUAGCGCAGCCUGGUAGCGCACCUGCUUCGGGAGCAGGGGGUCGGAGGUUCGAAUCCUCUCAGCCCGACCA
rnacentral:tRNA from 1 species